UAGGGAAUCUUCGGCAAUGGACGAAAGUCUGACCGAGCAACGCCGCGUGAGUGAAGAAGGUUUUCGGAUCGUAAAACUCUGUUGUUAGAGAAGAACAAGGACGUUAGUAACUGAACGUCCCCUGACGGUAUCUAACCAGAAAGCCACGGCUAACUACGUGCCAGCAGCCGCGGUAAUACGUAGGUGGCAAGCGUUGUCCGGAUUUAUUGGGCGUAAAGCGAGCGCAAGCGGUUUCUUAAGUCUGAUGUGAAAGCCCCCGGCUCAACCGGGGAGGGUCAUUGGAAACUGGGGGACUUGAGUGCAGAAGAGGAGAGUGGAAUUCCAUGUGUAGCGGUGAAAUGCGUAGAUAUAUGGAGGAACACCAGUGGCGAAGGCGGCUCUCUGGUCUGUAACUGACGCUGAGGCUCGAAAGCGUGGGGAGCAAACAGG
rnacentral:rRNA from 1 species